UAAACUCUCCUUGUUGAGGAAGAUAAUGACGGUACUCAACAAGGAAGUGACGGCUAACUACGUGCCAGCAGCCGCGGUAAAACGUAGGUCACAAGCGUUGUCCGGAAUUACUGGGUGUAAAGGGAGCGCAGGCGGGAGAACAAGUUGGAAGUGAAAUCCAUGGGCUCAACCCAUGAACUGCUUUCAAAACUGUUUUUCUUGAGUAGUGCAGAGGUAGGCGGAAUUCCCGGUGUAGCGGUGGAAUGCGUAGAUAUCGGGAGGAACACCAGUGGCGAAGGCGGCCUACUGGGCACCAACUGACGCUGAGGCUCGAAAGUGUGGGUAGCAAACAGGAUUAGAUACCCUGGUAGUCCACACCGUAAACGAUGAUUACUAGGUGUUGGAGGAUUGACCCCUUCAGUGCCGCAGUUAACACAAUAAGUAAUCCACCUGGGGAGUACGACCGCAAGGUUGAAACUCAAAGGAAUUGACGGGGGCCCGCACAAGCAGUGGAGUAUGUGGUUUAAUUCGACGCAACGCGAAGAACCUUACCAAGUCUUGACAUCCCUUGACGAUGCUGGAAACAGUAUUUCUCUUCGGAGCAAGGAGACAGGUGGUGCAUGGUUGUCGUCAGCUCGUGUCGUGAGAUGUUGGGUUAAGUCCCGCAACGAGCGCAACCCUUAUGGUCAGUUACUACGCAAGAGGACUCUGGCCGGACUGCG
rnacentral:rRNA from 1 species